GGGGCUGUAGCUCAGUGGUAGAGUGCUUGCUUAGGGCACAUGAGGCACUGGGUUCAAUCCCCAGCACCA
rnacentral:tRNA from 1 species